CCUACGGGGGGCAGCAGUGAGGAAUAUUGGUCAAUGGCCGGAAGGCUGAACCAGCCAAGCCGCGUGAAGGACGAAGGUGCCAAGCAUUGUAAACUUCUUUUGUCAAGGGACAAAAUCAGGCUCGAGAGCCUGACCGAGGGUACUUGAAGAAAAAGCAUCGGCUAACUCCGUGCCAGCAGCCGCGGUAAUACGGAGGAUGCGAGCGUUAUCCGGAUUUAUUGGGUUAAAGGGGAGCGUAGAUGGGUUGUUAAGUCAGUUGUGAACGUUUGUGGCUCAACCGUAAAAUUGCAAUUGAUACUGGCAGUCUUGAGAUGUCGAGAGGUAUGCGGAAUGCGCAGUGUAGCGGUGAAAUGCUUAGAUAUUGCGCAGAACUCCGAUUGCGAAGGCAGCAUACCGGCGGCGAUCUGACGCUGAGGCACGAAAGCGUGGGUAUCGAACAGGAUUAGAUACCCGUGUAGUC
rnacentral:rRNA from 1 species